AUAUCUUUCUCGACCUUUUGGCUAGGAUAAAUUGUAGCAUCUGCAGUUUAAUGUCUAGUAUGUAGGUCAUAUAUUCACUUUAAUUUUAAAAUUAUUUGUUGUGGACAGUGUCCAUCAUACAGGCUUGCUAUUGGAUCAUCACGUAUCGUACAACCAACUGUUGUACUAUACCAUCA
rnacentral:snRNA from 1 species